CCCUUAGAUGUUCUGGGCCGCACGCGUGCUACACUGAGUGGAUCAGCGGGUCAGGUUGCGCGAAAGCGUUUCCUAAUCUUUAAAUCCGCUCGUGAUGGGGAUUGACGGUUGCAAUUUUCUGUCAUGAACGAGGAAUACCUUGUAAGCGCGGGUCAUCAUCCCGCGCUGAAUACGUCCCUGCCCUUUGUACACACCGCCCGUCGCUCCUACCGAGGGGGUGAUCCGGUGAAUGAUUCGGACUUUGGCAUUGCUAUGUUUCAUAGCAUUGCUGGGGGAAGUCUUGUGAACCUUAUCACUUGGAGGAAGGAGAAGUCGUAACA
rnacentral:rRNA from 1 species